UCGUCCCUUCUUGGCACGCCCGUGGUUCCUCCUCUUCAUUGUCUGCGGAGACAGGCGAACAUUACUAACAAUGAACACGACGAGAUGGCUGGCCAAUAAACUGUGGAGUCAGUAACCACUUGGAGAAGGUAAACAUAGAAGAGGUAGAGCCCCACCAGACCCAACAGGGUGGGCACCAGGGCCAGGCAAACCAGGGGCAAGACGUCGUUCACCAGCUUCUGCCAGGGCGUCUGCUUGGUGAGGGACACCACCUCCACCUCGAACUCCAGCGCGGAGUCACCUGGGGAUGAGUGGGGGGCAGGAGCGUGCUCAUUUGCUCAAGUGAAUCUACACAUCAAGCCCAGGCAUUUAGAAUGACAGCAUCUGUCCUGUAUCAGCCACAUGAUAAAAUGUGCUGUGUGCAUGUGAAUGGUCAGAUCUGGCUAAGCUUGCACACCCAGGGGUGUGUUGGCUCUAUGCAGUCCUCAAGCUGACAAUGCAUUUUAUUAGAUAAGUUACCAUUACCAACGUAUCUGUAAAACUUCUAAUGAGCAAAUCUUUUCUCAUGAUUCAAAUCUACAUGGGGGAAAAAAGUGCUGUGAAAGAGUGCACACAGCCGACAGUUUGUAGGGUGGAAGUACAUAAACACUGCAUUGUAUUUGGCCCCCGCCCCUUUCUGUACCUCAGCUCAGUUCCACAAACGUGCCAGGCUUAGCCCACGGGCAGCCUCCGCUGGGCCCUAUUCACACCUAUUGUGUGCACCGCAUACAAACUGGGCGCCUGUCACAAUGCCUGCCGCCUCUUUCAGCGACCCCAUUUAGCUAUGCAUUAUUUAAAAGCAGCCGCUUCGUGGUUCGCCAGCCUGGGUUGCGUGUGCCUGACCGACCCCCCCCCCCUUCCCCCCCUUGCCGUUACGGUCAGUCAUGGGCCCGUGGCAGAGGUGGCGAAUUCCACGGCCCGGCGCUUCUGAGUGGUCAGCCCGCUCGGAGCCCCAGCGUGAGCCCCAGGUUACCUGGGAUGGUCGGAGGGUAGCCGCGCUUUCCGUAACCGAGGUGAGAUGGGAUGGUGGCCUUGAUUUUUUGCCUGGGAGACCGAUCAGGGGGGGAAAAAAAGUUACGGCCAAAUACUUUAAGAAACAUACAUGAAGCAUUUAUUCCCAUGUUUCCCAAAGAAUGCACAGGCAGUACACUUUGUAGUUCUAAAGCAGCGAAUGAAAGGCCCGAUCUUCAUGUGCACUCUCCACGUAAUCUGACGUGAACAUUCUGCAUCCAUAGACUAACGGUCACGUCAUUCACCAUCCAAGAAGGUUUAUCUAUGUGCUAUAACACAGCUGCUAAAGAAGGCAACACACUGAGGCGCAUGCAACUAGUUCAUUUUCAGUAUCAUCAUUUUCUGUGGCAAAUCUGUCGUGUGACUUGUGUUAUCCUCCUUUGACCACUUACCCUAGACAUACUCCCAGCAAGCUUUGCUCCAGCCCUGUUAAAGAGAAGACAGAAUCAUCCCAUCAAUAGGCAGGAAGGAAGAAUAGUAGAGGUUACUAAGUAACCAUAUUACCAAACAUUUUCUACUGCAAAACUAAAGGAAAAAUUCUACAUAGACUGUCUGACUCAAUGAUUCAUGCAAAUCAGUGGACUAUCUGUUUGAAAGAGAUGAACCAAUUGUCAAGAUGAAGACUGUGGAUUUAUUUAAUGAUUGGAAUGUUUUUAAAACAUGUCUUCUGUUUGACACUGCUAUAAAUUCAGUCUACCUUAAACUGCUAACAAGAGUCACAGAAUCUGUGACUGAUUAAGGCCAGCUGCACACCAGAGGUGCGUUCAAGUUCAGCGAACAAGGCGAACGUUUGCAAACUAUUUCAAACUUUUUUCCGUUAGCUUUGUGUUCGCAGUGAACGUUUGCAAACAUAAGCGAACGGUCUGAGAAGGUAGUUUUGGUGAACAAAAAUGGACACUGGACUGAGGGAAAUGUUCCCAGUUGGGUAUUUCAAUUGAAGAUGCCGCAGUGCCGAACUGUUCAAAGAAAACAUGUUCGCCACGAACAUUCGCCUCUGUUCACUGAACUUGAACGCACUUCUGUUGGUGUCUGCAAUGAACAUGGGCUCUUUCCAAUCUCUUAUUUUACCUUCUUGCAUCCUUUCCCUGCAUCCUUUCCUUGCUUCCUUAGCUCAGCCCAACAAAGGACACAAAGAAAGGUCUUUAGGAAAGGAUGCAAGGACAGCUGAAUCAAGAAAACGUGUACUAGGCAAACGGAAUGUCCUUGUUUAGUCAAGCAUCAGUUAGAAGCCACGUCAAUUACAGACAUGGCAGAUGGGAGAGGUGGAUCCACAGGUGGAUCAUUUAUACGUCUCAUAUUCUAAAAAAAGUUCCGCAAAGGAUGCACUGGUGUUUCCUUACUCAAGCAUCCUUCGGGAGCCUCCUAGCUCCUUCAGGAGCAUUUAAGAGGUUGGAAUGUCCUUAAAUAUGGCUGACCUCGAUCGAUUUCUGGGUCAGCAAGGACUGAGGAGACAAGGAUGGAUAAAAUAAGCGAGUAGGACGACCUCCAGGUCUUAAAGGCAGGUGUGUAACCAACAGAAAGGAGGCUGUUCGGUAAGAAGGGCUGAGGUCUGUUUUGUGAAAAAUGUUGUUUUCCCUUUGUAUAUUUAAAAAUAAAUACCAUUUUGCCAUACUCCCUAUCUCAGAUAUUUUAAAGUCAAUGGCUAGCUUUGUCACACCAAUCAUUUUGUUUGGUGUGAAGACCAAAUUAUUUCGAUUGGUUCUAACAAGCAUUGGCUUGGAUUGACAGCUUACUGCAUCUCCACUCAUAAUGAUGUUCAUAAAGUCCCAUUCUACCAUCAGACAGUUGAGUGGGUGGGGCCUAUGUGAUAUCACCUGGAAUAACGGUCCUCUUCCCCAGCUCUACAACCAGAGGAUCCCGAGAAAGAGAGGAGUCUAUGACUUUGCCAUCCAGCAGCUUUCCCUGGAAAGGAGAGCGAUAUUAUUACAUUUUAUUGUGGUCCAGUUAGGUGUGAUGAUGAUAGAAACUGUGUAAUAAACCACACCUGCACUAAAACCACUUAGUAUUACUGCUACUAUUGUCAUAGUCAAGAUGUGACAAAAUCGCUAGUAUUGCUGCUGCCAACAAUUACUCUUGGCAAUGUGUCUGAGUGAAGCAUACAGAGGUGAUCAGUCUCCUGCCAGCAGUUCCUUAGCAUCAGACUGCCUCUUUUACAGCAGAUUAAAUUAACUGCCCUGUCUAGCGCUAGGCACAUGAGAACAAGGCUUCAAGAAGCCAAAAAUGGGUUGCACUAUUAGCCCCAAUCAGCGCCUCCCUGAUCUGAACCAAUCAUUAAACAGCAUUGGGAGCAUUCUAAUUGUGCUACAUGACAUUCUAAUCGCAUUCCAGUUCUAAGUGCAGGGGUGGUGUCUUCAUUCCCAGGUCAUGUUUCAGAGGCAGUGUGGGAGCUGGGCUUCAUGAGACCCAGAUUGGGUGGAGCUACGAUAUGCUCACACUGAUAACAACCAAUCAUUGCCUGUUACCGUGGAGAGCAAAGUGUCUUGAUUGAUUGAUUGAUUGAUUGGUUCAAACAAGUCAGCCAUUAACAGAUCAUUGUAGCUUGACCCAUUCUGAAAUCUCACCCACCCAACACAACUGUCCGUCAUCGUAUCUGUCAGUCUAACGUUCAGCACUUCACUCAACCUGUCCUGUGAAUUUCAAAAGCUGACUAGCAGCCUGUGAUUAAAACAUGGCUAUUGCUGGUUUAUUUGUGGGGUAAACACCUGUGGUACAGAUAUCCUUAUCUGAAUUGUGAAUGAAGUCCCCAAACUGUUUAUUCAGCCAGAAUGUAUGCUGGGUGAAUUAAAGCAAACUGCCCUUUUCAAGGGCAUAAUGGCAGUGUCUCCCUGAGAUCUGAAUUCAUGACCUUCCCAACAUGGCAUACAGCACUCUAGGCACGACACAUGCUGCCCACAUUUUAACUGCGAUCCUUGUUAAUAUUGAUGCUCCGUUGCAAAUGAUUUAAUUACAUUCCAAUGACUGCCGAUAACAAAACUUAAUAAACUUGUCAAGUCAGUGAACUCGAAA